GCAUAGGUGGUUCAGUGGUAGAAUUCUCGCCUGCGACGAGGGAGACCCGGGUCCGAUUCCGGCCAAUGCU
rfam:Danio rerio chromosome 4, GRCz11 reference primary assembly.